rnacentral:rRNA from 1 species
AUUGAACGCUGGCGGCAGGCUUAACACAUGCAAGUCGAGCGGAGAUGAGGUGCUUGCACCUUAUCUUAGCGGCGGACGGGUGAGUAAUGCUUAGAAAUCUGCCUAUUAGUGGGGGACAACAUUCCGAAAGGAAUGCUAAUACCGCAUACGUCCUACGGGAGAAAGCAGGGGAUCUUCGGACCUCGCGCUAAUAGAUGAGCCUAAGUCGGAUUAGCUAGUUGGUGGGGUAAAGGCCUACCAAGGCGACGAUCCGUAGCGGGUCUGAGAGGAUGAUCCGCCACACUGGGACUGAGACACGGCCCAGACUCCUACGGGAGGCAGCAGUGGGGAAUAUUGGACAAUGGGGGGAACCCUGAUCCAGCCAUGCCGCGUGUGUGAAGAAGGCCUUAUGGUUGUAAAGCACUUUAAGCGAGGAGGAGGCUACUGAGACUAAUACUCUUGGAUAGUGGACGUUACUCGCAGAAUAAGCACCGGCUAACUCUGUGCCAGCAGCCGCCGUAA